UUCCCCCCGCCCCCCCCCCCCCCAAAAGCCAACAUGGAUGAGUGGAAAUGGAGUGGUCAAAUUCCAGCAUUUGGAGACUGGGAGCACGCAAAUGAGAUGCCAAUAACACAGUAUUUCUAGUGUGCAAGACAAGCGGGCUUGAUUCGAUACACUUCCUCUGGAGAAUGUGAUCAAUACAUGCGUGGUGACUUAUAUGCUACCGAUUUCAAGAAACCUUCUCGUGAACUUGGUCCUCCAAGAAAGACAAGGCUGAGAGAGAGGAAAGUCCCACAUGGCAAGGAGCAGAAGAAACAAGGCAAAGUUUGUGACGUGACAGAACCGCCAUAGGGAUGGCAC